rnacentral:rRNA from 1 species
GCUCAGAUUGAACGCUGGCGGCAGGCCUAACACAUGCAAGUCGAACGGUAACAGGAAACAGCUUGCUGUUUCGCUGGCGAGUGGCGGACGGGUGAGUAAUGUCUGGGAAACUGCCUGAUGGAGGGGGAUAACUACUGGAAACGGUAGCUAAUACCGCAUAACGUCGCAAGACCAAAGAGGGGGACCUUCGGGCCUCUUGCCAUCGGAUGUGCCCAGAUGGGAUUAGCUAGUAGGUGGGGUAAAGGCUCACCUAGGCGACGAUCCCUAGCUGGUCUGAGAGGAUGACCAGCCACACUGGAACUGAGACACGGUCCAGACUCCUACGGGAGGCAGCAGUA